GAGCACGUAGGUGGGUUUGUAAGUCAGAUGUGAAAGCCUUCUGUUCAACGGAAGAAUUGCAUCUGAAACUGCGAGUCUUGAGUGUAGGAGGGGGGAAUGGAACUUCUGGUGGAGCGGUGAAAUGCGUAGAUAUCAGAAGGAACGCCGGCGGCGAAAGCGAUUCUCUGGCCUAUUACUGACACUCAGUGUGCGAAAGCUAGGGGAGCAAACGGGAUUAGAUACCCCGGUAGUCCUAGCCGUAAACGAUGGGCACUAAGUAGAGGGGUUUU
rnacentral:rRNA from 1 species